UAAAUAGUUCCUGAUAACUUUGUGAAUCCAAUUGUUCCUUAUUGCCGGCAGAUUUUUGUACCCAAAGCCUUUUGGACCCAAUUGUCAGAUUAAUUGCGCUUGGAUAACUUGGAUAAAAACAAUAAAAUGCACCUAUGUACGUCAUAUGGAAUCUGCUUAGAAGUCACUCAAAAAAUUAUGGUGGCUUUUUGUUCCUGAAGUUUGCAACAAUGCAAUAUUUGUUUAAUACGUAUAUACAUACAUGUGAGGAGCUAUCCGAACGAGCAAACAUUGUGGCUUAUGUCGAGAGGCUGGCUUUAUUAUUUGGCCGUUUAUUCCUUAAACCACAAGAAAUUUUUUGAUGACACUUAACUAGAAUAUUAAAUUGCUAGCAUCAGAACUAUUUCUUUCACGUUUAUUUGCCAAGGGUUCUUCAAUAUCUCGGCAUCAGUGCGUCAUUCGCAAUCGUACGCUGCAAAUGCUACCUUAUUCGAAAGGCAGCCUCCCGACUACAGCGAACACAGAAAUCAUUAAAAUUUAUGUUCAAACAGAAUUAAUUCAAAUAUUCAGUAUAUUUAUUAAAAUAAGUACAAGGAAACAACUUAUCUUUGACUGCUGUUUUGUUCAAUGUACCGAAAUCUACAAAGUUGUUAGCCAAUGCUUGUUUUUCAAAACAUGUUUAGUAAUUGUUAAUGUUAAUAUAUGUUAAAGUUCUGAACACAUUGAAAACGACGAGCUACGGACCACAGCUUCCAAUUUGUCAUCUUCAUUAUCUAAAUGCAUUGUCGAUGGCGACAUGAUUUAUUUGAACGCGGCAGCGACAUCAUAAAUUUGUAUGAGUUUGACAUAAAAGAAGAGGAAGAACGUUAUCUGUCGCCAGAAAAAUAGAAAUAGAUCUAAUCUGGCCACAACCACAGCAGUCGCGUAGCCCGGUCGUCGCCAAAAUAAUUAUCUACAUAAGAGUACGUGUUAAAAUAUUUUGAUAGCUGUGAUUUGUAGCUCGCCGUUUUCAUUGUGUUCGGGCUAUAAAAGAAAGGUAAUUCAAUUGCUUUUCCUUCUAUAAUAAAUUAUUUUGGAUUAACCAUUUUUCUUUGUAAAAAUUUGCAAAUUUUGAGUACGCCCUAUAGAUACAUGUACGAAAAUGUACAAAGUUGAUAGCCAAUGCUUGUUUUUCAAAACAUGUUUAGUAAUUAUUAAUGUUAGUAUAUAUUAAAAGAAAGGUUGUUCAAUUACGUUUCCUUACGUAAUACAUUUUUUUGGAUAAAUAAUUUUUUUUUGUAAAAAUUUGCAAGUUUUGAGUACCCCUUAUGGGUACAUGUACAGAAAUCUACAAAGCUGUUAGCCAAGGCUUGUUUUUCAAAACAUGUUUAGUAAUUACUAAUGUUAAUAUAUAUUAAAAGAAAGGUAAUUCAAUUACUUAUCCUUCUGUAAUAAAUAGUUUUGAAUAAAUAC